rnacentral:tRNA from 6 species
GCGCCCUUAGCUCAGCUGGAUAGAGCAACGCCCUUCUAAGGCGUGGGUCGCAGGUUCGAAUCCUGCAGGGCGCACCA